UCAAUCGCAGAUAAGGUUUCUUCGUCUCUUGCUUCUUCCAAUCGUGUGGUUGUUAACUUCAUAUCUCUGAGAGGAGAGAGAGAGAGCAUUGCUUUCCAGCGAAUUCUUCCUAUACAUAGCCCUAAUUCCUUCUCUCUUCUUUGUUUUGUUCGCCAUGUCUGCUCUUCAAGCCUCUCUCAUCUGCAGGCCUCCAUCUCUUCCUUCUCUCUCUUCUAAACACCAUCGCCUCUUUCUCUUCAAUUCCCGUCUCUGCAAUCCCUUGCAUCCCCGCUCCUUCUGUCGCCGCCCUCAUCCCAUCAUCGCCCUCGCGUCCCUGCCCGAAAACCCCAAUUCCACCCCGGAUUCCUCUUUCCCCGGGCACGACUGGAUUUCGGAUCUUGAAAAAGAAGAAACUGCCGAUUUGUCUGCCGGAAGUGGCAGCGACGGGUUGGAGGCCGAUGCGGAACCCGCUGCGGAGGUUGAGGCGGGUCGGGAUGAUGUUCAGGCCGAGAGUGGGGAUUCGGCGGGGAAGCAGGUGGCGGGGAGCAGGUUCCCGCUGGCGGCAUUUCUCAUGGGAGUGUUCGUUUCGUUGAGGAAGGGUUUCGAGAAUCUGGCGACAUCGGAGUGGUUGAGCUGGUGGCCAUUCUGGCGGCAGGAGAAGAGGCUGGAGCGGCUUAUUGCAGAAGCUGAUGCAAACCCGAAAGACGCCGCAAAGCAGGGCACACUGCUGGCGGAGCUCAACAAGCACAGCCCUGAAUCCGUGAUUAGACGUUUCGAACAAAGGGAUCAUGCAGUUGAUAGUAGGGGAGUUGCAGAAUACCUUCGAGCUCUCGUUGUCACCAAUGCUCUAGCAGAAUAUCUCCCAGAUGAGCGAUCAGGGAAGCCUUCAAAUCUUCCUACCUUGUUGCAAGAGUUGAAGCAACGUGCAACUGGGAAUAUGGAUGAGCCCUUCUUGAGCCCGGGCAUAUCUGAGAAGCGGCCUUUACAUGUAGUUAUGGUUGACCCUAAAGCAUCAAACAGAUCCGCACGUUUUGCUCAAGAACUCAUCUCGACUAUCUUAUUUACGGUUGUUGUUGGAUUGAUGUGGGUAAUGGGUGCAGCAGCACUUCAAAAGUAUGUGGGCAGCCUAGGUGGGAUAGGUGCUUCUGGUGUUGGUUCAAGUUCUCCAUAUGCCCCAAAGGAGCUGAAUAAAGAAGUCAUGCCAGAGAAGAAUGUGAAAACCUUUAAAGAUGUUAAAGGAUGUGAUGAUGCAAAGCAAGAGCUCGAGGAAGUAGUUGAGUAUCUUAAAAACCCAACAAAGUUUACUCGCCUCGGAGGGAAGUUACCGAAGGGAAUUCUCUUGACUGGAGCACCUGGGACAGGAAAGACUCUGCUUGCCAAGGCUAUUGCUGGAGAAGCUGGGGUGCCAUUCUUCUAUCGAGCAGGUUCUGAAUUUGAGGAAAUGUUUGUUGGAGUUGGUGCUCGGCGUGUACGGUCUUUAUUUCAAGCUGCUAAAAAAAAGGCACCUUGCAUCAUUUUCAUUGAUGAAAUAGAUGCUGUGGGAUCCACUCGAAAGCAAUGGGAAGGUCAUACAAAGAAGACAUUACAUCAGCUGCUUGUUGAAAUGGAUGGGUUUGAGCAGAAUGAGGGCAUAAUAUUGAUGGCUGCAACAAACUUGCCGGAUAUUCUGGAUCCUGCUUUGACAAGGCCUGGUAGAUUUGACAGGCAUAUUGUUGUCCCAAAUCCUGAUGUGCGAGGCCGGCAAGAGAUUUUGGAGCUUUAUUUGCAGGACAAGCCUUUGGAAGAUGAUAUAGAUGUCAAAGCAAUUGCACGUGGUACUCCUGGCUUCAAUGGGGCAGAUCUGGCAAACUUGGUAAACAUUGCAGCCAUUAAGGCUGCAGUAGAAGGUGUCGAGAAGCUAACUGCUGCACAGUUGGAGUUUGCGAAAGACAGGAUAAUUAUGGGUACGGAGCGGAAAACAAUGUUCAUAUCAGAAGAGUCAAAGAAGCUCACUGCAUAUCAUGAGAGUGGUCAUGCCAUUGUUGCAUUCAAUACUGAUGGCGCACAUCCUAUUCACAAGGCAACUAUAAUGCCAAGGGGAUCUGCUCUGGGGAUGGUUACCCAGCUUCCUUCUAAUGAUGAAACAUCGGUCAGCAAGAAGCAGUUAUUAGCACGUCUUGAUGUUUGUAUGGGAGGGAGGGUUGCUGAAGAACUUGUCUUUGGUCAGGAGCAUGUUACAACUGGUGCAAGUAGCGAUCUUCAUCAAGCUACGGAGCUUGCUCAAUACAUGGUGUCAACAUGUGGGAUGAGUGAUGCCAUUGGGCCAGUAUAUAUCAAAGAGCGCCCUGGUACAGAGAUGCAGUCACGCAUUGAUGCGGAAGUGAUGAGACUGCUAAGAGAAGCUUAUGAUCGUGUUAAAGGCCUACUAAAGAAGCACGAAAAUGCAUUACAUGCCCUGGCGAAUGCGCUGCUUGAAUAUGAGACGCUAAAUGCAGAAGACAUCAAACAGAUCCUCAAUCCUCACCGAGAAAUACAGCUUUCUGAACAGCAGGAAGAGCUCGCAUUGAGUUAGGGUGCAUGUACCUGUAUAUUUAUAUCUUCUCCAGCUGCAGAAGGGGCAGUGUACAGUGUAUGCAAAUUAUAUAGGUUGUUUAAUGGGGCUGUCACUUUUGGAGAUCCAAUUGCAAAAGAUUGACACGGAAUUCUUACAGAGGUAUGAUCCACUACAAAUUCUUCUUGUCUUAUUAUGGUGCAAAAUCGUAUGUGGACCUUAAGUGGGCCACCUAUGAUCGACAAUGACCAGUGGAUAGCAAUCAGAUUGCACAUGAUCCAUAGAAAAUCAAGAUUGGAUACUCAUAAUGGCACAAUUGAAAGCAUUCACCCUGACAGCACUAGUAAAGAUGGUCUUACCAUCCAUUUUGCAGGCCUGAUUGGGGUUAAAUUGAAGUUAUGUGCAGUCCACGAAGGACCCAUCCCGUCCAAUGUGGACCAUGAUCAUAGGUGGGCCACCCACUUGCCCUAAAAAAAUCUGGACCUUCAUAAGGUAAGAAGAAUGUGUUCUUGGAUCGAGGCUUUUCGGUCAUGGAAACACCCAUGUUGAUUCAUGCAAGGAGGACAUUUUUUUAACUAUCGAUCUUAAGCACGUAUGGCAUUUUACUUGAGAAGAGUAAUGAUCUAGUGGGUUGUGCA